UCGAUUUUGCUCGUUUUCGUCGCCGCGCUUGUUCUUCGCUGUUUGCGAGCAUCGCAGAGCUUACGUGGACGUGUGAGAGAGUAUUUUGGAAGGCUUUUCGCAGCCCUGAACCAGGAGGUCACUGGUGGGAAGUCUAAGAAGGUAAUCGGCUCAACUUUUCCGUUAUCGACGUUCUAUUAGUCGCUUUGAGUAUGGAUUUCGAGUUUAUGCUUCUAGCUGUAUUCUUCUGAGGUUUCAGCAAGUAUAAAUGAGUUAUUUAGCUGCGGCUUAACCUCCUUAAAUCUGGGAUAAGCUACUUUGAAGCUCAGUAGAGUUAAGUAGGUCAUUUUGAAGCGAUUUCGGCACCUUAUGCGACUUGUUAAUGCAGUUUUGUAUGUUGUUUUCGCAGCAGGUUUUCGAAUCUAAUUGAAUGUAAUUAGUGACCUUGGGGAUUAGUGUGGAAGGUGUUUUAACCCGAGGAAAGCAAGAAUUUCAGCGAUAGCGCUUUUGACCUUGGGAUCAUCUUCUGUUGGCAUUGGAGUGUCAUUAGGGGCUUAACUUGAGCAGGAUUGCAGCCUUGUUGAGUUACAUAUUGGGAUUUCUUGUGACUGAUUGGAGCUUCAUAAUAGGUGGGUCGGACCUAACCAGAACAAGUGGAACUCCCCUAUGUUCUAUAUGUAUUAUAGAAUCAAUGUUGUCGUGGGCUUUUGUGUAUUCGAUAUAAAACUUGAGACGAGUCGCUAUACUUUAGAAUAAUUGAAUUACAAUCUCUUUAUUAUGUUCCUAGAACUAGAAAACAAUGACAUGCUUGUAGAGAACAGUGACACUCUCCUGACUGCUCUAAAGUAGAGAACAAGAACAUGCUGGAUGCCUAUGUUAGUCUUAUAUGUUACUAGUGGAUACUAGCUAUUGUUCAUAUGCUUGAUCUUUUUAUACUGAAAUUCCGAUCAAAGGAUCGAGGGUA